rnacentral:lncRNA from 1 species
UAGGUCUUUAGUGUAAACGAGGAGUUUUCCGAGAGCUAGAGAAUAAGGACUACACUAGUGGAUUUCCUCCUGGCUUGGUAGCCCCCAGAGUAGGUGACGUUGCACUGAACUGGGUUAAAAAACUCUCUGUGCUUUUUAAUUUCUUGUCUUUUAUUUUGUUGUUUUGAUUAUGUUUACUACUAGCACGAUGUUCUAAACAUCUCAUUCAACAUCUGUUAUUUGUGUCUGGUGUUGGAACAUCGCAUAGAACAUUAUGUUGUUAGCUAGCCAGAACUUCAAUACAUAAUUCAGUGUAAUUAUAAGUGUCGGUACCGUAUCGGUGUCGGACACGACACGUAUCUGACACCUAAACACGUCUAAUCCAAGAAGUGUCUGUGCUUCAUAAUCCACAACACACUCAUUGUGAAAAUACAAAUGCGCUCAUAAUCGUGGAUAGGAAAACACUAAUUUUUUUAUUAAUGAAAAACCAUACGAAGGAAAUAGAAAUACUAAUACAGUUGAUAUGCUCCGUAUAUGACCGACGACCCGUAUUUAAUUAUGCACGUAGAUCCCACAUGAAAAUGUAUAUACUUAGUUCCUUGUUAGAAAUAAAGAAAAAGUAAGAACUAUAAAGGAGGACAAUUUCGAUAGAAUAAAUAAUUUAUAUCCAAUUUAAUACAAAACAGAGCAUUAUAGUUCUGUUAGUGAGAAUAAUGAAAGAACAGGAAAAAGUAAAAAUAAUACACACUAAUUUAAUUCAUAGAGUACAAAAUAAGAACAUUCAAAUCAUUAAAUACAUCUGACUAUGAAUUUGUCAUUCGUCUGCAUGCAUAUGUUGGAUUACUUACUCUGUUAAUUGGUUCACAGUGAAUCGAUCCGAACUGAGGAGACCCAGGAGGAGUGCAUGAAAUAUGAGAACCAGGCCCGGGCCUACAUGCUGGGUUGCCGCGACUCAUGGUUAAUUGUGAAAGGAAUGACGUGUCGCCGCCUGCGACCAGUUGAUCCAUGAAGUUGGUUUCGUCAUCGACGGCUGUUAGGCAGUGAAGUCCAAGGCAUCCAUUAUUCUGUGAUGCUGCUGAGCUAUGUUGAUGAGGUUGAAAAAAUAAAGUUACCAUUAAUGCUGUUACAACCAAAGAAAUUAAUGAUCCUUUCAUUGUACUGUUGGAGCAAAUAUCGAACUCUUGCUAGUUUAUAAGAUUGUGCAGAUGUUUAAUUGAAUAUAGUGUGAAGAUUAUUAUAGAUAAAGAUAAGAAGAUAUCAAGAUAUGGGGAUGAGGAACGUUUGUUUAUCUAUAAUAUAACUGUUACAUAUUUAUUUGUUUUCUAUAAAAAAAAUAAACAAACAGAUGUGUGUAUCGUUUUUAUAUAAAAUAAACAGAUAUAUAUCGAAUGGAUGUUUUAGACAAAAUUUGUUAGAUUUUAGUCCAAAAUAACUCUUUACCAUUGGAGAAAGAUAAUGAUAAAUACUGAAAAUUUCUUAUCACUGUAUCAAAUGAUAUAUAUAUAUAUAUAUAUAUAUAUAUAUAUAUUGUUGUAUAUUCGCUUCAAAUUGAGAUUCUUAGGAACAAAGAAAUCGUGACACGAUUUCAUCAACGUGUCACGAUUUUGGUAAUGUCGAGAGUUGUUUUGCAGGGUGCUCAAUCGUGACACGAUUUUGGAAAAACGUGACACGAUUUUCAACUUGAUGGGCACGUUUUCAGGAUAGAGUUGGUCGUACCUUGGAUCGUACGCACCAAAUGUAUCACAAUUUAGACAAACGUGACACGAUUUUGAUAGUUGAAGAUUGCUAUAUAAGUGUUCCUGUGUAGAUUUUGAAGAAGAGCUUGGAGUGAGAGAAACUUGGAUUACAAAGGAGGUAACUUUAGGUUGAGUGUCUUUGUAGUGAGGAUCUCUUGGGUUGGAAAACAUUGUAAACACCUUGGGUAGUGAGAUUUCACCAUUGGAAGGAUCAAAAAGCUUCUUUUUGUGUUUUCUCUUAGGAUUCAUUGAGAAUGUAGGUGACACAAAAUGGGUAUAAAUGAGGUCUUGUUCUUGUGUAAGCUUAUAAGCUAAUUUCUUGUAACUCUUUUGUAACAAUUUCAUCAUAGUGGAUUUGAGGGCUGCUUUCUCCCCCAGAUUAGGUCAUUUUGGACCGAACUGGGUUAACAAUCUUGGUGUGUUUGUUCCUUUCUCUCAUUGCUUAUCUUUAUUGCUUUGAUUAUGCUUGUGGUGUUGCUCUACACUUAGAUUUAGGUCUGUUUUUUUUGUUGUUGUUGCUUGGAGAAACUUUAUCUAUUGAUUACCACUUCCUUUGCUCCACACAUCUUUGUUAUUCAUUGGUGUGAUUUUGUCCGAAUUCACANN